rnacentral:rRNA from 1 species
UACGUAGGGGGCGAGCGUUGUCCGGAUUUAUUGGGCGUAAAAGGCUUGUAGGUGGCCACGCCAAGUCGGAUGUGAAAUCUCCCGGCUCAACUGGGAGGGGUCAUUCGAUACUGGCGGGCUCGAGGCCGGUAGGGGGAAGCGGAAUUCCCGGUGUAGUGGUGGAAUGCGUAGAUAUCGGGAGGAACACCAGUGGCGAAGGCGGCUUCCUGGACCACAACUGACGCUGAUGCGCGAAAGCUAGGGGAGCAAACAGG